UACGUAGGGUGCAAGCGUUAUCCGGAAUUAUUGGGCGUAAAGAGCUCGUAGGCGGUUUGUCGCGUCUGCUGUGAAAACUGGAGGCUCAACCUCCAGCCUGCAGUGGGUACGGGCAGACUAGAGUGCGGUAGGGGAGAUUGGAAUUCCUGGUGUAGCGGUGGAAUGCGCAGAUAUCAGGAGGAACACCGAUGGCGAAGGCAGAUCUCUGGGCCGUAACUGACGCUGAGACACGAAAGCGUGGGUAGCAAACAGG
rnacentral:rRNA from 1 species